CGCGUCACACGGCGUGUCUUGCGAGAGGCAGAGAGGGGAGAUGGCCAACAAGACCCCCGAACUAGCCAGGCUACCUCCGCUUUAUCGGCUGUGACCACCACUCCGACCAGGAAACUGCGAUCCAGAUCAAGCUUGGCCAUCACGAGCUCUGGCCCCGUUCUUCCUUCUGUCUGCAUGAUUUGCAAGAAAGACAGCAAAUUUAUCGUCGCGAGUGGCAGACGUCAAAGAGAACGAAAACACAGACUUUAACCGCAGGCAAGUUGCAGGAAGCAGCUGAAGUAAAGGAAGCCAAGAGCAUCCUCAUUCACAUCAAGGACAGAGACUGUGUGGCUCUGGAGGUGCAGUACCACAGAAGUUGCUACAGAGAGUACACAAGGUUUUUGAGUGAGCCUGUCAGAGCAGAGAAAGAACAGAUUGGGCCAACAUUUGAUCUGAGCUACAAGUUAUUCUGCGAGAGGGUAAUCCGCUAAAGGCUACUGAUCAACCAAGAGGUGCUGAGGAUGAGCCAACUGAGGAAGGCCUUUAUUGCCCUUGUGCAGUCAAGUGAAGGUGUUGAUGCUUCAACCUACAGACAGGAUAUAUUGAAGAAGAGGCUCAGUCGUGAUUUUCCUCAGCUAGUGUUCCACACCCCCGCCAAACGCAACACAUCUGAACUGGUUUUUGCUGAGAACUUGUCGACGAAUGCAGUCUUGGACUUGUUACCAUCAGGUGCAGAGACGACUCAGUCCAGCGAAAUGAGCCAGACAGACAGCGACACAGAAAGGAGGAAGUCAAAGCAACCAACCACAGCAGAGGAGACACGGACACUUUACACAGCAGCUUUGCUUUUGAAGAGGCUGCUUAGUCACAGUCCUGGCAUGUCAUGCCCAUGGCACCCAACUGCAGUAAACUUCAAUCUCACUGAAGUCAUUUGCUGUGGCAUGCGCAAAAGAUGUGUACCUGGAUGCUUUCACACAGUUCAUGAAAAUGCCGGUUCAUGUGUAUGCCACUUGUUUUGAUUUUUUUAUUUGUUGUAUAGUUAUUAGUGAAUAAAUGAAUACAUGAA